CGGCGCAUCAGCUGCACGUGGGGAUUUUGGGGCAGGAAGAGUCUACCAGGGGAAGGGAGAUGAUUUUGUAGAACAGCUGCUCCUCUGCUAGAAAUUCAAGGCAAGCAAGUUACCAAUAGACUAAUGAAAACGGAUGGAGCUGCUGGCUUUGCUGGGGGAAUUAUUUGGCCUUCACUGUUGCCAGGGAGGACAAUACUGGCAGGAGGAGCAGCACAUGUAAACCAGCCAGCAGUCAGGCUGCAGAUUUCUAGGAGAGUGAUUGUGAAGUGAGACAGAUCUGGCAGGGGAUGGCCAUGUGCUGUGCAGAAGCACUGCCUAUGUGGUGUUUUUUUUUUGCACAGUAUUUACUUUUCUAUAAUAAUUAUGUUUUCUGCAAAGGAUGGGGAAACCUUAUUGCUGCAUGGCAGGGAUACAGCAGGGAAGAUUUUAGGACUUGCCCACUGAGAAGCCCAGGAGAUUGUGCUGAGCUCUCUCCAUCAGUGAAUGAUGAGAACGGAGUUUGUUUCUGAAAAACAAAGGCCCUGAGAGGACUCAGCCACCCUGCAAACCCCAGCCACAAGUCCACUGCCUGUCUGCAGAGAACCACUGAUCCAACAUAAGGUGCCCUUUGGGAUCCAUUUUUCAAUUUCUCAUUCCUUUUUAAUAUAUUAAACAUCUCUUCCAAUAAAUUCCAAGGCCAAAAUAAAACUUCACCACCUAAAAAAUACAUGACAAGAGGCCAACAUGUCAGAAGGCCUUCCAAAAGAAAAGGAGCAGAAGAGAUUGAAGUAUCAAAAGUCAGCAAUUACAGCAGCAUGAUGGUCUGUCACAAACAUUUUAAUGAUAUGUUUUGUCCUUUGCUCCUGAGGGUUGACCACAAAUAGCAAACUGUCCAUGGCCUCAGGGCACAACCCAGAAUCUGAGUUUUUAUUACACUAAAGGCAUUUGUUCUAUUGUUUCUGUCCUGGAGCUGGCAACUCAAAUGCUUGCAGGGGAAUGAAUCGAGAGAUGACAGCACAGCAGCAAGCAGUCUCCAUUUUGUUGAGCCUUUGGAAAAUCCUGGUAUUUUUUGCCCAUUUCUAGGCAUCUGUGUGUGUCAUCAGCCACUUAGCAGUUCCACUCUCAAAGUUCUCAAAUGGUCAACCACUUCCCAUUUAAAAUUCAUCUCAAGCGUACACAAUAUUCCUGAAUAAGACUUCAGCAAAAAAUGUUUGGGGGUUAAGAGAAGAAAGGAAAGGUGGGAAUAAACAUGUACCUAUUUCUAAUGUUUUCAGUUCAUAAAAAGAAAGAGCCUUCAGUCAGCUCUCUUGUCCUUACAGUGAACAUAAAAAAUGAAUUUUUCUCUUACUGAAAGCUCAAGUAUAUAAUGAGAUUUUCUUUCCAGUUGGGGAAUUUAAAGAUCCCCCCAAGCUCUGGACUAAAUCCAUACAUCUAGCAGUAGAACUUUAGGAAAAACACCACCCAAACACAUCAAGUUGUAUAGUACUUAACAGCAGAAAUGCAAGUAGCCAAGACACGUUAGUACUGUAAAGAGAAGCAGCUAUUCAGUUACUGAGAGAUGGAAUUCCCAUUUACUAAGCAUUUCAGGGUAAGGUUCAAGGGCAACAGCUAGAUGUGAAUGGAAGUAUGCAAACAUACACAUUCCAACAGUUUUUGCAUCCUUUGCUGUUUUCAACUGAAAAAACAACUAGAAAUGCUUAUUUUGCUUCAUUAUUAUAUUAUUAUUUUGUGCUGCAGUACAAAAUGGUUUCCCACUUGAGCUACAACUAAUCAGAAACAGCACAACCAAGAAAGAGAGCCUUGAAGCUCCAAAACAGCUCUCUGCCCUUUUAUUGUGAUGCAUAUGUUGCUCAAGCUCACAAAAUCUCCCUUAUUACUUCAUCUUGCACAGGGUGACUUGGUGAACUUCCAUCCAAAACAAUCUCCAAAGAGCGUGUCUAGAUUUAUCCCUCCUUUCCAUUUUCUAGGAGGAAUGUGGAUUGCUACUGCACUAUUACCACAGAAAAAAAACCGAUUUGAUUGCAGUCAUAUUCUCUUUAAAGAAGUCACUGUGAAUGCAUCUGUUCAGUGUAUUCCAUAUAUGAUAUCAACAGAGGAUUCAGGUGGGCAUUAUUUGAAGGCUGUGGCCACCCUCAGCUGUUUGAAGUUGCUCAGUCUUUACUGCACAGAUCUGCCAAGAACUGCCCCACCACACGUACUGACAGACCACAUGCCUAAGAAACCCAACUCUGAAGAGCGGAGAGCAGUGGUUAAAUUAAAGCAUCACAGUGAUUUACAGUCGUGGAUGAACGUAAGAAACUUCUCACAGGAUCUUAAAGGCAACCAGAAGUAUGGAAUGUAGAUGGGCGGCCAAGCAAUACGCUCCAGCAACGAGAAAAUUAAAUUAAAAAAGUGAAAUAAAAAGUCUUCUUUUUACUUUAGUGACUACCUGUAGCUUUGUUCCGUACUCAUUACACAGAGACGCAUGCUGGCAAGGUGAGGAUCAGGUCUGCUUUGCUGUGCUUGCCACUUUGGAAGGAGCUCCGAAUGUUACAAACACAUGAAAACAGCGAUCCUCAUCCUCGACAGUUCUCUGAUGUUCCAGUUUGCAGGCUGGCUCAAAUUUUACAGGAAAUACUAUUCAUGUUUCCAACAUUUCUGAGUGACACUAAAAUAUAACCCAGAUGCAUGUGUUAAGUGACCCAUAGGGUCUUUCCCUUUCAUACAAAUCUCAUGUUUCAGGUUUUAAAAAUUCCCCAGCUCCCACCCCCCAGAGAUGCAGGGAAGGCUUAGUGAGGUUGGGGAGGACAUCUUGCAAGACUACAUAAGAAAUACAGUGGGUUUUUUUUCCAGUUAGGUGUAGAGAUGACAGAAGUAAAAAAAAAAAAAAAAGACAGGAAAAA